GGAUGUGAAGGCAAUCUGUCCUCAUCAGUUACUCCACUGAUACACCAGGAUUGAUUUGGCUGAUCUGACUGGCUAGGUGGGUGUCCCCUUCCUCAUUCACAGCUCCAUCAACAUUGCUCCUGAAUUUGCAUGCUUGAUGGAAGAGGAUAACCAUCUCAGAAAGAAGUAGUGUACCAAUCUUUGAUCAAGUGUAUAUGUUAGUUGGGCUCUCCUGCUAGAACCUACAAACAAGUUCAAGGAUCGAUUGAAUUACUAUAAUACACUCACACUACAUGAAGCUUCUCUUG
rnacentral:snRNA from 1 species